UACAGAGGUCUCAAGCGUUGUUCGGAUUCAUUGGGCGUAAAGGGCGCGUAGGCUGCGGGGUAAGUCGGGUGUGAAAUCUCAGAGCUCAACUCUGAAACUGCACUCGAUACUGCUUUGCUUGAGGACUGGAGAGGAGAUUGGAAUUCACGGUGUAGCAGUGAAAUGCGUAGAUAUCGUGAGGAAGACCAGUGGCGAAGGCGGAUCUCUGGACAGUUCCUGACGCUGAGGCACGAAGGCCAGGGGAGCAAACGGG
rnacentral:rRNA from 1 species